rnacentral:snRNA from 1 species
AGCUGUGAAGGGAAUCUGAACAGGACAUUUGUGAACCCAUUGGUUGCCAGGGUUGAUACAGCUGACCUGGCUGGCCAGGUAGGUACCCGUCCUCCUUCACUACUUUAUGUGAAUCCCUACCAAGAUCAUGGUCUAGAAGAGGAGGACCAUCCUCCAGUCAAGGGAAUAUAAAUUGCUGUGGUCCCCUGCUGGAAUUUACAAACAAGCUAUUGACACAUUUCCACCUGAAGUGAAAGCCCUUGUGUUAGCCUGGUUGGGAAGUCACUGAGGGUUAAUCCUUAAAAGCACACUUGCCACCUCCUAG